AUGUGGAGGAUUCCAAGGCCCAAGGUCACUGCUGAGCACAAGAUGGAAAGAGUCCAUGCAUCUAGAUCUCUCAAGGGGAAAGCCACCAGCCAGCCAGGAACAACUGCAUUGGGAUAUUGUUAUGUUACUGAAAUUUUGAGAGAGACAGAGAAAGAGCCCACGAGCCAGGGGAGGGGCAGAGAGAGAGAGAGGAUCCUCCAGCAGAAUCCCUGCUGAGAGUGGAGACCAAAGCAGAGCUCAAUUCCAGAACCCUGAGAUCAUGACCUCAGCUGAAAUCAAGAGUCAGUUGCUUAACUGACUGAGCCACCCAGUUUUGUAUAUCAGAGCCCUACUCCCCAGUGUAAUAGUAUUUGGAAAUGGUGCCUUUGGGAGGUGAUUAGAUUUAGAUGAGGUCUUGAGGGGGAAGCCUCCAUGACGGGAUUAGUGCCCUGAUAGGAAGAGGAAGAGACCUGAUACCCCCCGACCCCGCCGCCAUGUGAAGAUGCAAGAAGGCGACCAACUGCAAGUGGGGAAAAGAGACCUUGUCAAGAACUGCAUCUACCCGUACCUUAAUCUUGGACUUCUUAGCCUC